rnacentral:lncRNA from 1 species
AAAAAAGAUUAAAUUCAAAAUGAUCUUGCAAUUCUGCUUCAUGAGAUAGAAUAGAAACAUCUUUGAAUGCCAGGUUUCUCAACGGAGGCUUGUGUAAGCUCUUCUAAAAGUUAAAUAUCUGGUUAUUUACAAAUACAAAGUUAUGUAUAUUCAUUACUGAUUUGUUUCAUACCUUACUUUUUGAAUUGGAAUGAUUCAGAGUAUAAUUCUUACAGAGAGCCCAUCACAUACUAGUCAACGUUCUAAGUUUUUUAUGCAUAUUAGUUCAUUCAGUCCUCACAGCAGCCAUCAUCACUGUGUGAUUCUUGAAGCUCUGGAAAUCUAGGAUUUCUAUAUAGUACACCAACAUACCAGUUUACAUAUAUUAUAGGAAAGGUAAACGAAACAAACAAACAAAAAAACAAAAAACAACAAAAAAACCAAAAACCUGUGUUUUUUCUUUGCUUUAAUUCAAAUUUAUAUUCAUGCCUUUUGGGGAAUAUUCAUUCAAUAAGGGAGCCAUUACAUGGUUUUCUACAUAACAAAACAAACAAGUAAAAAGCAAACACUCAACAAUAAAACUGUACUGUACAGUAAGCAAUACCCGUUUUUGUGAUGCUAGCUAUUUACUAACUUCUUUGGUACAAUUUAGUUUCUGGGAAUAUAUUGCAGUUUUCUUUUUUGGUUCACAAGUAAUGAUCACGUAU